ACUGGGUACACUUAAUAAUAAAUUGUGAGAUUAUUGGUGUAAGUAUAAUUUGUAAAAUUGUAUUUGAUGGGAUUAAUAUAUAUUUCAUUCGAACUUAAUUUCAAAAUCAUUCACGACAUAAUUUAUUUCCAUGAGUCCUUUUUUAUGCACUGUACGACAUUUCCAACAUCAUAUUAUUUCAAAAAUCAUGGAACAUUGAAUGAAACCGAAUAAGGACUUUUUGGAAACGAACUCAAUCGGAAUCAGACCCACAAACAAAGCUAAUAAGUCUCUUUCAACCACGGUCUCACAAUUUCUAUAGAGUAGCCGCUACUCAGUGGUGCAAAGAUUAUAUACACGGAGUAGCGUGGUUCUCAUGUUGUCCUGGUUCUGGUUUUAAAUGUAUGAAAUAGCCAUGACGCGAAGCUGCUAUCUAAGGAUUGACGUGCCUAGGGUAAGGAUGAAAAUUUUGACAUUAACCUAAAAUUGGCUAAGUAUGUCCGACCUCUGCUGGAUUCACUCGCCAUUCCGUCAAUAUUCAGCAGUACUAAACCAGAACAACCUGGCACCAUUCAAAAUGCUACUGAAGAUUGUGUUAAGGAAAAACUCUCGAUAGAACCUUUAUCAAACUUGGCCGAUCACGAUUUAUCUCAAAUUGAGCCUGGCGGUACUUUCACAAUCAGUGAUUUUGCUGAUGUCAAAUUAUCCAACAAUAACUUGAACAAUGACUGCUCCUUUACAUGUAUUUUCAUACAUUUUAGAAUAAUUUUAAAAAUAAUAUUAUUGUCCACAUCAAGUCAAAAGAAUUUAUCCAGUAAAUUGAUUUGAAAAGAAUGUGCUAAUCAUACAUCUGUGAAUAUAAACAUAAGAAUUAAAAACAAAAAUUCACAGACAGCAAUACAACUUUUUGUCACUGAAAGGGGUGCUGAAAAUUUUGUGAUGAAGGAACCUCAGACAGAACCAGUCGAUUUGCCUGAGAUUUAGCCUACCAGUAUUUCAAUGGACUGCUGUUCCAAUGAUAUCAAAUUGUCCAGUGAUACUCUGAACAAUGGCUGUCCCUUUGCAGUCGGAAUGUUUGAUAUAAUCUUGAAUAAAUUUAAUAUUAUCUCCAAUUGAUACCUAAAUGUGGCGAAUUUGUGGGUUGAUUUGAAACAAAUUUGAUAGAUUCAAGACGUUUUAGAGAGUUUUGAAAGAUUUGAGAGAGCAAACGGAUAGAGAAUGUUUAAUGUGAAAGUAUGCAAAAUAAUUUAAAACAUUUAGAAAUAUGCAUUGAAAGUUUAAUUAAUAAACCAGUAUUGUAUGUUGAGAAAAUUGCCUCAUUUUGAAUUCUAUCAAUUAACACAUCCACCUCAAUUGAUCAAUAUCAAUAAAAAAAAAUUAAAUUCUAUAAUCACACUAUAUAAUGGAAUAAAAUAAAAAUAACAUCUAUAUAUAGAUGUCAUGAUCCAGCAAAAAAUUAAUAUUAAUGACAUAAAAGACUUCUUGUAUAGGAAUCGAAACAUAAAUAAUCAUUACAUUGUAGGAAAUUUCUAUAUAGACAUUUUAGACAACACGUCAACAAUUGUUAAUGAAUACAUUAAUAACUAUCUUGAAUACUGCUUCAUACCUUCUUUCUUUAUAGUUACAAGACCAAGUAAAAUAAUACUGUAAUGGGAUGUUGCAUUGACUACAUUUUUAUUAGAUCUAAUUAUUCUAAAGCUGCCCCUACACUAUCAAGCCGCUUGAUCAAAUGCUUGACCAAAUUGAUUGUAUCAAGCGUGAUUGAUAGUUUAGAAGCCCGUUUGACGCUUGAACCAAGCGUUGACGGUGAUUGAUAGAAAUUCUGAAUGACUCAAGCGGCUUGAUAGUGCAGGACAAUUUCCGUCAAGCAUUGCGUCAGUCACUCGGUGGAAGCCAUGACGUCAACUUCCCAACCCGCGUCUCCCGAAAACUCGGAUCGGGAGUUUAUUAGGUUAUUGAUUGAUCUGUAUCUUGAUUGUCGGGAGUUGUGGAAAAUAAAAAUUAAAGACUAUUUCAAUAGAAAUAAAAAAAGUGCUGCACUUGAAAAAAUCGUGGGUGCAUUGAGAAAGUUAAAACCGGAUUUCACCGUGAGAAAAUUAAAACAAAAAAUAAAUGUUCUCAGAACUAACUUCAACAGAGAGUUCAAGGCCAUCAAGAGUAAAAAAAUUAGACGUCUACAGAUGACAUCCCUGAACCCUCACUUUGGUAUUUCAAUGAAAUCUACUUCAUAAAAGACCAAUUGGAAAUCGCACAGACUGAUACUUCGGAGGAACCAUCGAUUCCUCAUGAAGACUCGCAAUCUCAAGUCAACUCGGAAAGUGUCGAAUCCCCUUCUGACGUGGUUACACCCCGAACUCCCAAAAGAGCUAUCACGGGUAAAAGAAGGAAAGGUGUCCCAGACAGCACUGAUCAAUUAGUAGGACUAGCGACUGAAUAUUUUAAGCGACCUGAGACUGAAGAAGAUAUUGUCGCUAGGGGGUGGGCUAUGAAAUUGAAAAAGUUAGCUCCAGACCAACGACGCUUCGCAGAGAAAAUCAUAAAUGACGCGCUUUUUGAAGCAGAAAUGGGCACCUUGACAAGGGAAGGAGUGUGUUGUGAAACGUUCCCUCGUUGGUCAGCCACGUCACCUGCGUCGUCAUGUUCUUCAGUAAAUAGUUGGCAAACGUACCCCCAGUCAGUGCCGUCACUGCACACUUCAACAGAAAGCCUAUCAUACCAACGGCAACACCAUACAACGUCUCAUGAAGAUAAUGCUGCUACGUUCUUCUCCUCAUUUAGUUCAAUGUGAACUUGUGCCCCUAAUGAUUUCAGUUCAGUACUAAUGUUCAUAAAUUGGGAAAUAUCUGUAUUUAUUAUUU